ACUCCACUUUUUGCCGGAUUCCAGUGAUCAAUGACAGUUUGCUGCUACGAUCACAUGUUUAAAAGGGAACGCAACCAAAAUCCUAUCUAUGCAGCCCAGCUGCCGUUUCCAACUUACGAUCUAAUACAGUUAAUGUGCAAAAUAGUUAGUUGCGCACAGCGUAGUUGCCAUUAUUUUAUUAGCGAGAUUACUGUUCACGGCUAAAGGAAAAGAAAAAAUGUAAAGAGGGAACUGAUAGGAUAAUAAAAUUUGCAAUAAAUACCGGAGUAAUGAUGACAGGCGAAAAUAUUGAAGGAAAGUUUUGAAGUAUUAUCACAACGGAUACUAGGUAGCACUCGAUUGUAUGUAGCAGUGCUGGAGAUAUCUAAAGCCACCCACAAACUAGAGGACCUUCUGGAUGGAGAUUUUUGAUUCGAAAUGGCAUGCAUAUCAUAACGUACCGUUUAGAUGAGGGGCUGUGAGUUAAGGAAAGCUGCUAUUAAAUCACAAAAAAA